AUGUCUUCGCCGAGCAGAAUGGGAGGAGGAGUUCAGGGUGAUUGCGGUUCUCAUAAUGAUACACCAAUUGGCUCUCGUUGUCCUGGUGGUAAGGAUCAUGGUGUUGAGGGAGGACAUCAAUUGAAUUCGCCGAUUGAAACUUCUCCCAUAAGUGUGGCCCCUCCUUCUGAGUUUGCGGAGAAGGAGAAGCAGAGGAGAGCUGCAGAUGGUGCCAAGGGUGCCAAAUUUGCCAAGGUGAAGAAGCCUUCUUUGCAGAAGAAGAGGCUGAGUACUGUUGCUGAGGAAGUUGGUACACCUCGGCGGAGUCCAUGUGUUGCUGGCAUGAACAAGAAUCUUGGCAAGAGAACUGCUGAAGCUGGUGGAAAGGAUGAUCCUCAGUGCAAGCGACUACAUGUCACUGAAGGUCCCAACUCUGAUGAUGACGACUUUGUGCUUGCUGAUUUUGUGAGGGAUGUUCAUAGUGGUAGACGCAAAGAAUGUGGUUCAUCUAAGAGUCUACCCAAGCAUUCCCGUGAUGAUGUCGAUGAAAAUGUUUGUGGUGACUCUGGCGAGGAGGUGGAUGUUGUUCCAAAGAGGAAGAAGUCUACUAAGAGCAAUGCUGCUGAAGAUGAUGCUGAGGGAGAUGAUUCUCGAUUUAACAAGAUCGUACUAAAGAAAAAUGUGUCGCGCAUUCUUAUGUGCUAUUUGAUGGGAGUGAUUGAUCCUGCCACCAUGAUAAUGGACUUUGGGAAUGGCAGGGUUCUUCGAAUCAAUCGUGAUGCAGUUCAUCACAUUUUUUAUUUACCCAUGGGACGUCACACUGCACCCAUGCCUGCUGCCAGCGGCCAUGAUGACUCGUUGAGUGCCCUCAAGGAUGAGCUUGGCUUUGACCGUUCAAAAAGUAUAGGUGUCAAGGACUUGCUUGAGAAGUUGAAGAAUUUGUUGUGCCCCGGGCCUGCAGUUCGUUUGGGUAGAGUUGCUGCAAUGGUAGAGAACAUGGAUUAUGCGGCUAUGGCUCAGAUGGACUUUUGCCAGCUUGUUGUUGAUGAGUUGCAGGCAGCUGUGGUGAGGUGGCAAACAGAAGGCAGCAAGGAGAAUUGUGCAGAGGGUUGUGCCAUUGUCCCCCUGAUUAUGUAUCUUGACUGCUUGAAGCUUCGCAAAUUUUCAGUCGUGCACAUGUUGACGCCACGUGCGUCAUACCUGACGACCAAGGACCUGAUGAAGUUAUACAAUGAGGAUGUGCUUGUGAAGGUAAAGAUUUACUUGGAAACUUACAAAUUUGGGAAGCUGCCGUGGAAGGCGUCAGGUGAUAUUGUGUACAACCGUCCUGUUGCAGUUGUAUGCGGCAGCUCUAAUGCGGGACCUAGCACUCAUGCUAGGUUUUAUGAGCCUAUAUGUAGCCAACUUCCUGCCUGUGAUGAUGAGGUGCCGCGUACUCGUGGUUUCAUGGCUCGACAGAUGUUUGAUAAUAGAAGCUCUUCUGAACAGACAUUUGUUGGCGGCAAAAAACACGAGGAGAUUGAUGAGCUUCUUCUGAAGGUUUUGAAGUUGACUGAAGAUUUGCCAACCUCUGGUGACAGGUUGAGGACAGUUGCUGGUUUUUUCCCUGUUGGCCAUGGCCCACGAGAUGAAGAUAUUGUUGCUGCUCACAAUUUUGAUUGUGGCGUGAUUGAAAGCCUGAAGAUUGCAGUGAUGAAUGUUCGGUCUUCGUAUGCUCAAUUGAGACAUUCACAAGAGGAAAAAUGCGGUCGGUAUGAGAAGGAUGUUGGGCAUAUUUUGGAUGAAAUGAACCAUCAGGACGCUGGCGUUGGCGCUGAUAAUGCUGGAGUGGAAUCUUUUGGUGUCCAUGGAACUAGGGACGAUGGAAUUGGUCAGACUGGUGUUGCUGCUUGUGAUGUGCAUAAAGAGACCUACGAUGGCUCUGGGAAGGAUGAGGUCUUGGCUGAUGCAUCGUCCCCUCCGAAUGUUGUAGCUGAUAAGGGCGGUUGUGCUGUUGAUGGUGGUGGUAGUGUUGGUGCUUCUGCAUUGGUAGCUGUCGACUGUGCAGACCCUUCUGUAGCUCAAGAAUCCCAUGAUGCUCUUUCCCCCAGUCGGCAUGAAGAUUCUGAUUUUGGCAUUGAAAAGCCGCUGGAGAAUGUCGUCCUUGCUGUUAGUGUUGUUGCUUCCCCUGUUUGUCUGGCGGCCAACGAUGUUCCUGAAGUAUCGAGAGUGGAGCCUCAUGUAGCUGAAGUAUCUAAGGACGUUGCGGUUGACCAGACUGUUGUAAAUCCAGAGAAUGCUGAUGUUGCUGCAGAAGGGCAGUCUAGUGAGGUUGUGGUGGAUUUGUCGCAACCUAUCCAAGAAAAUGGUUUGGUCAGCUCUGAAGAACAACAGCAUGAAGACUCUGACACUGAAGGCAAGAGUUUUGUUUCGAACAAUGACGAACUUCCUGUUGUGACACCGUCGAGCAUUGAUCCGGCUCUUCUGAAAAGAUACAAUGAGUUGUACACUGCUGUUACGAGGGUUCGGAAGGACAAGAAGAAGAAGGACAUGAUUGCUUUUAAAACUAAGAUGGGUGAUAUUACCAUUGGCGAAGUUGGUCAAUCCUUUUGGGAUAAAGGGAUGCUCACUACAAGACUUGUAGAUCCUGGGGUUUCUUUGCUGGUAGAUAAGUUUAAGGGAUCUCCGACAAUGGUUGUCCCGUACCAUAUUUGUGUCCUUUUUGCAACUUUUGAUCCGCCAGAUACGAGGGAUGGCGUUGGUCAUUAUUGUGUAAUUGCGUUAAAUGUGAAAGAAAGGCGGUUUGAAUUUCUUGAGUCGCUCAAUAAACCUGGCAGCCCUGAUGCGAUCAGGGUUUUUAGGAGGAUGGUUAAAAAUAUCAAGCGUGCAUGGAAAGAAGGAAGCUCAAGUUCUGAUGAGCCGCUAAAUCCUCCUACACUUGAUGGAUUUGUGUUGAAACAUGUCAUUGUCCCAAUGCAGCCUAAUGGGCAUGAUUGUGGAUUCUAUCUGUUUCAAUUCCUGGAGACUUGGGAUGGUGUUCAAGUUGCUCAGUUUGGGGUGGGGCACAUUGGCUACAUCAGAAAGGCCAUGCUCUAUAGUUGGCUCACAUCGAGAAAGUGUUCCCUUGAUUUAACAUCACUUUUAAUUUUUGCAGAUAAAGGUGAGAGGGCUUUUAAGUUGAGACGCUCUAUAGAGAAAUUGAAGCUUCCGAGGUUCAAAUAUAUUGAUGAGGCGAGGAAAAUAAAGGAUCUUGUUCUCAGCAAAGAUUUUGUAACCAAAUACCACGAGAAUGUGUUCUUUAUGGUGAAUAGUCCUUUUGGUGAUCUUGAUACUUACACUGUUGACUAUAUCUAUAAUACAUUUGGCAAAGGAGCUUUAAUGGAUUCGUAUCUCAUGGAUUUUGUCAUCAAGUACUGGAAGCAAGACCCUGAAAUGGGUUUAGUUUAUCAUUCUGGUGAACGUGUGCUACUUUCACCCUUAUUUAUCAUGAUUAUGAUGCCGCGCUCCAAGGAUGGUCAUUAUUCCUUAUACAUGAUGAACCAGCAUCGCCAGACGUUUGAUAUCCAUGACACUAGGAAGUACACUGGCCAUGCUGAUGUCACGACAAAGUGGCAUAGGAGUGAUUACCACUCAGAUUGCACUGAAGUGCCUGCUGUUGAAGAUUGGAAGGCGGAGUACAUGUUCCAGCUGCUAUUCAAUUCUUCGAACAUGUUGUGUUAUGAAGACAUGCCGCUUGAGCUACGAGAACUGAUUGCGGACCUCAGGCUUACUUCCCUAUCGCAAUCGCAGACGCAGUAA
rnacentral:rRNA from 1 species